rnacentral:rRNA from 1 species
CAACCCUUAUCAUUAGUUGCUACGCAAGGGCACUCUAAUGAGACUGCCGGUGACAAACCGGAGGAAGGUGGGGAUGACGUCAAGUCCUCAUGGCCCUUAUGGGUUAGGGCUUCACACGUCAUACAAUGGUCGGUACAGAGGGUUGCCAAGCCGCGAGGUGGAGCCAAUCCCAGAAAGCCGAUCGUAGUCCGGAUCGCAGUCUGCAACUCGACUGCGUGAAGUCGGAAUCGCUAGUAAUCGUGGAUCAGCAUGCCGCGGUGAAUACGUUCCCGGGUCUU